AACGAACGCUGGCGGCAUGCCUAACACAUGCAAGUCGAACGAGACCUUCGGGUCUAGUGGCGCACGGGUGCGUAACGCGUGGGAACCUGCCCUUAGGUUCGGAAUAACUCCCCGAAAGGGGUGCUAAUACCGGAUAAUGUCUUCGGACCAAAGAUUUAUCGCCUUUGGAUGGGCCCGCGUUGGAUUAGCUAGUUGGUAGGGUAAAAGCCUACCAAGGCGACGAUCCAUAGCUGGUCUGAGAGGUGAUCAGCCACACUGGGACUGAGACACGGCCCAGACUCCUACGGGAGGCAGCAGUGGGGAAUAUUGGACAAUGGGCGAAAGCCUGAUCCAGCAAUGCCGCGUGAGUGAUGAAGGCCUUAGGGUUGUAAAGCUCUUUUACCCGGGAUGAUAAUGACAGUACCGGGAGAAUAAGCUCCGGCUAACUCCGUG
rnacentral:rRNA from 1 species